GGCUCUGUGGUCUAGUGGUAUGAUUCGUGCUUCGGGUAAAUCCCCAGUGUCGUCGGGCAUUGAGCAUGUGCGAGGUCUCGGGUUCGAUCCCCGACAGAGCCC